CAUGUCACCGGGAUACACAAUCAGCUCUCAAGAGUAUCGAUCUCAGCCUCUCACUCGUGUGAAGAAGAAAUUAGUAGGUUCUGGACGAACCGUACAUAUGGAUGUACCGUACAAAAGCUCUCAAGACCACAUAUAUUAUUUUAAGCUAGUUAACGUCUAAAGAGUGAAAGAGAAAACGGAGUCACACAGCUCCGUCCCUCCAUUUGAGCGCGGCAACCAACAGCGCAUGAAUGAGAUUGAGCCAGGAUGCCACGCAAGUUCAUUCCCAAGAACCUCCGGGAGACAGACCGGACCAACCUCGAACUGGCAUUCAACUACAGGAUUGAGCACAACACCAGCAUACGGAGGGCAGCUCGGGAGUUUGGUGUCAAGGUUAUGACUCUGCAGGAUGCCUUCACAAGGAGCAAAGCCAAAUCUGAUGGGCACACCUUUGUAAUUCCCCAAGAAAAUUUUAACAGGAUUUUCAACAAGAAUCAGGAGGAAAUGCUGUGCAAAUAUGCCAUACAUGUGGCAAGACUGUUCUAUGGGAUGACUCGCAAGGAAUUUCGCCGACUUGCAUAUGAGUAUGCUGUGGCUUGCAAGUGCUCCAAUAUCCCUGCAAACUGGCAUGCCACACAACUGGCAAACGAAAAUUGGCUCCAGCGUUUCAUCAGGUUUCCCUACUCUCUUCUUUCAUAUAAUAUCAAGUAGGCAUUUUUGUUUGUUUUAAGCCUUGUAAGCUUUUUAAGGCAAAGAAGAUAAUGUAACCAUAUUUUUUCUCAACUUUUUGUGUAAUAAAGGAAGAUUAAAAUUAAA